AUGCACGCUGGCGGCGUGCCUAAUACAUGCAAGUCGAGCGAACAGACGAGGAGCUUGCUCCUCUGACGUUAGCGGCGGACGGGUGAGUAACACGUGGAUAACCUACCUAUAAGACUGGGAUAACUUCGGGAAACCGGAGCUAAUACCGGAUAAUAUAUUGAACCGCAUGGUUCAAUAGUGAAAGACGGUUUUGCUGUCACUUAUAGAUGGAUCCGCGCCGCAUUAGCUAGUUGGUAAGGUAACGGCUUACCAAGGCGACGAUGCGUAGCCGACCUGAGAGGGUGAUCGGCCACACUGGAACUGAGACACGGUCCAGACUCCUACGGGAGGCAGCAGUAGGGAAUCUUCCGCAAUGGGCGAAAGCCUGACGGAGCAACGCCGCGUGAGUGAUGAAGGUCUUCGGAUCGUAAAACUCUGUUAUUAGGGAAGAACAAAUGUGUAAGUAACUAUGCACGUCUUGACGGUACCUAAUCAGAAAGCCACGGCUAACUACGU
rnacentral:rRNA from 1 species